CCUAUAAUGGCAGUCGAGCGAGCCGAACUAAUUGAUUACCUUCGGGUAUGAAGUUAGGGAAGCGAGCGGCGGAUGGGUGAGUAACACGUGGGUAACCUACCCUAUAGUCUGGGAUACCACUUGGAAACAGGUGCUACUACCGGAUAAAAGGAGAGAUCACAUGAUUUCUUUUUGAAAGGCGGCGUAAGCUGUCGCUAAAGGAUGGACCCGCGGUGCAUUAGCUAGUUGGUAAGGUAACGGCUUACCAAGGCAACGAUGCAUAGCCGAGUUGAGAGACUGAUCGGCCACAUUGGGACUGAGACACGGCCCAAACUCCUACGGGAGGCAGCAGUAGGGAAUCUUCCACAAUGGACGCAAGUCUGAUGGAGCAACGCCGCGUGAGUGAAGAAGGUUUUCGGAUCGUAAAGCUCUGUUGUUGGUGAAGAAAGAUAGUGAGAGUAACUGCUCAUUAUUUGCCGGUAAUCAACCAGAAAGUCACGGCUAACUACGUGCCAGCAGCCGCGGUAAUACGUAGGUGGCAAGCGUUGUCCGGAUUUAUUGGGCGUAAAGCGAGCGCAGGCGGAAAGAUAAGUCAGAUGUGAAAGCCCUCGGCUUAACCGAGGAAUAGCAUCGGAAACUGUCUUUCUUGAGUGCAGAAGAGGAGAGUGGAACUCCAUGUGUAGCGGUGGAAUGCGUAGAUAUAUGGAAGAACACCAGUGGCGAAGGCGGCUCUCUGGUCUGUAACUGACGCUGAGGCUCG
rnacentral:rRNA from 1 species